GUGGACGAUCAAAGACAGUGCACUUCACGUUAGGAAAUGCAUGACAGAUAGCCUUGGCUGUGUUUCCGGUUCCACCUCCGACAUCCACAAUGGUCUCCACUCCUUCGAACACCCAUUUGCAACCUCUUAAUGCCAGGUUCAUCAUCUGAGAAUCACUAGCCAUUGCCUCAUUGAACGACUCGUUCAUUGCUGGGUUUUUACUAAGAAUGUCCCACAAAUUUGAUCCAACGGAGACAUCAAACAAUGUAAGAUCAUCCUCAUAAGUCCACUUUUUCAAGUGAGACCACGUAUAUGAUAAAGUUGGAUUAGUUAUAUACUCAACCAUUGGUGCAAGACAAAAGUCAGUGCCUUUGACAAGAAGCUGUGAUGCAGGUGUUAGAGAAAACGCUUCGCUUUCUUCUGUGCUGUGAUGGACUCUUACGAUAUGAAGGAAUCCAUUGUGUGCCAGGUAGCGUAGGAGACUCUUCACUCCUCUAACUUUAGUUGGCGGAAUUUGUAGAAUGGAAACCAACUUUGGAAGUGAAAUGGGUUGACAAUGGUUGUGGAUGAUGUCUGGUAUGCCAAGCUCAAUCAUCCAUUUAAUACUCAUACAAUCUAUCGUAUGGGCAUACAAGUGUUUGUACAAGUGAGCUUGACCUUCAAAGAUCUCACUCGCCUUUAGGACAUUAUUUGAAGCCAUAAUUUGAUGUGAAUCUGUAUUUUGUGUGGUGUUUCGGACUUUCUCGCCCUAUUUAUAAAGAUUCAAAAGCCUAAAUUUGUAUUUCCGCCUUUAGUGUAUUCGGACAUGGUAAGUUGAAUUGAUUAUUUUCAGAAGUCGUUGUUUGUUUCAUUAUGACAUAGAUAGAUACUUUCACCAGGGAAACGACAAAAAAACAUUUUUGGGACAUAAUAAUAAUAUUUUGAUUAUAUUUAUAUUAUUUUUUAAUUUAAAAUCAUAAUUAUAUUAUUAUAAAUCGGGUCAAAUGAAUGUUUUUUUAAGCCUUCUCAAACUAACUUUUUCCUUCAUUAAAUUGUAAGAUAUCUAUGUAUUUUCAGAAAUAAAAUAUGGAAAAUGAUAUUUUGACAUCAAUUUUUGACACUAUUUUGACAUUGUAUACGUGUCUAAACGUGGUUGGACGAUUUUAAAUUAAAAAAAACUGAGACAAGGACAUAUUUGUAAGAAAAAAACCAAAGUUUUUUUUUUAAUUUAAAAUCGUCCCAUCACAUUUUGACAUGUGUGCAGUGUCAAAAUGAUGUCAAAAAAUUGGUGUCAAAAUAUCAUUUUCCAUAAAAUAUACCCUAGUUUUCUAGUAUUACGUGCCACUCUCUCCUUCCCCUUUUUUUUUAAAAUAAUUAAAAAGAGUAUUAAUUAGUUAAAUAACACAUGUUAACCUUCAUUUCACAUGACAGUAAAAUAAUUAUAAAAAAUAAUUUUUUGUAUUUAUAGAAGAAAAAAAUAAUAAAAGCAUCAAAGGAUAUAUAUAUAUAUAUAUAUAUAUAUAUAUAUAUAUAUAUAUAUAUAUAUAUAUAUAUAUAUAUAUAUUAUUACUUUAAUUAAAAAGCCGACAAUUCAAUCUUUUUCAAUUACAUAGCUCUUGAAAUAACAAAAGUACUCUUUAACAAAAAAAAAUAGUAAUUAAUGUCUUUUCGUUACUAAAAAACUUAUUGUAUACUUGAAUUUAUACUUUACUUAUGUUAUAUUUUAUUCGCUUUUUUAAUUGUCCAUUUUACAAUAAUGACGUUAGUCAAAAUAAAAAUUUCAAUAAACUUAGGAAACAUGCGAUAAUAAAUUAUAAAGAUCUGUCACUGUGUAUAGACAUAUGGAGAAUGAAAAACACAAAUCGAAUAAGCACUAUUAUUUUAUGUACAAUGAUGGAGAAAUAAACGGAAUAAUAAAAAUCCACUUGGUUUCAUAUAUAUAUAUAUAUAUAUAUAUAUAUAUAUAUAUUACAGUUCAAAAUCGUUAGAUUGAAGAAAAAAAAUAUACACCGAAAAUAUACAAGAAAAAAAAAACGAGAUUGCACAAAAAAUUAUCUAUAAAUUUAUAAGAAGAUUAUGGAGAAAAUUGGAUAGAUAGAUUUAUAAGAUAUAAAUAGAUAAAAAAAAUCAUUUUGCAUACCAAUUUUGUAGAAUUAAAUAAAAUAAGUUAAACUUAAAAUCUAUUUCUUUUAAAAAUGUUGUAUAUUUAUUUUACUUGAUACAAUUUUAUGGUAAAAGUUAUUUAUUUUAUAAUAAUAUUGAAUUGAGUGAAAAUGAAAUUAAGCAUUUUAUAUAUGUGUAUUUAUUAUAGGCUUGUAAAAUGUUUAGUGCUUUAAACUCAAUACAAACAAAAUUAGAGAAGAUAUGAGCUAAUAUAGCCGGUUUAGGUCAACUUCUGGUCUCUCUAUGUUUAUAACUUCAUCGACAUAUUAGGAAUCUGAUUUAAAACAUUGCAUCUGUGUAUCGUACCAUUUAGGGUAGUAAAAUAAUUAAUAAUGAAGUAUUUUAUUGGAAGUCAGAUUAGACCGUUUCAAGGUUUUGUAGCCGUCGUUAAACAAAUAAACACACAAAACAAAAACCAUUAAUAAAUUAUAUUUUUUAACUUUGAAAUCCGUUUUCCUGACCCUCAUCACAUGCUAGUGAAUUUGACUUUUCAUAUAAUAACUCCUAUUUUCUCGGAUAUUCAUCACCGUCACUAAUAUAACAAUAAGCACAUAAUUUAAUAUAAUUAUAUCUAUAAUUAUAAAAGAAAUUAUAUAUAUAUAUAUAUAUAUAUAUAUAUAUAUUGUUUUCAAUUUUUUAAGUUUUUGAACUCGUGAACAUAAUUAAAUUUAUUUUCAAUAUAAAUAAUUAUAUUUUCGGUAAGAAAAUUAUCUUUUAAUUUAGGUUUAAUUGGUUUUUUGUUUUUAAUUUUGUUACAAUGUGUCAAAUUGAUUUAACUUUUAAAAAAAGUUUCAAUUUUGUCUAUAUUUAAUAUAAUUUAUCUUAAAUACAUAUAAACAACGUUAUUUUAAGUUGAAAUAGAAUUUUUUUUUCUCGCCCCGGCCUUUAUGCCACUCUAUUUAUUUGUCAGAUGCUAUUGUUUAUGUAUGUCUUUUCUUAUUAAAAUACUCUACACACCUGUCAACCAAGAAUAUAUUCUCAUAUUUAAGACAAGGAAAAUAUACUUAUUUUCCAAUCGAAUUUUGAUAAUAUACAUAUUUAAGACAAGGAAAACUAAUUUAUAUUAAUAUUUUAAUUUUCGUAAAUCCUGGAUCCACACUUUUGAGUUGUCAGUUAUUCUUCAAGUUCUAGAAUAUACAUAUAUCGUUUUUGACCUACCACAUUCAUAUAUUUUUUAAUUUAAUUUAUUUUUAAUUUACAUCUAAUUUCCGUUAGUUUUAUUUUAAUUUACUUUUUUUUUUCGAGUUUAAAUACUUAAGAAACAGUGAACAUUCUGUAUUACAUGUCAUUGCUAAUGAUAUAUUUAUACUACGGUAUGUAUUACAUGUCAUGUUACUUCAGUAAAUUCUAAAUCUUAAAUUCUUAAUUUUAAACUUUAAAUUAUAUUUUAUAAAUCUAAACCUUAAAUACUAAUACAUAAAUAUUUUUUAAAUAUAAAAUUUCGGAAUACUACGUGACAUAUAUCUCACAGUAAAUUAUUUAAAUGAUGCAAUAAAAAAUAUUAAAUUGACCAAAAUUAAAACUAAAUUAAAAAUAAAUAUUAAAAUUGAUUUAAACAUGUUUAACAAAAAGAAAAAAAUUAAUAUUUAAGUCUUUCCAUUUAUUAUAUACUUAAAAUAUCAUUAAUUUCUUAAAAAGGAAAUUAUACAAUAUAAAAUUUAUUUAAAUCAAAUAUAAAACAAUACAACAAUGAUAAUAUGCGUAACUGAAAAAAAAACAAAAGAACUGAUUAUUUUAGAUAAAAAUGUUAUUUUUGGAUACACCAUUUUUACUUUUUAUUUUCCUAAAUUUGAGUUUCUUCACUUCUUUUACCUUAAAACUUUAUUUAUUCCAUUUAAGGAUAAAUAAUGUUAUUUUAAUUUUUUCAAUUAUUUGAUUAACAAAUUAAAAUUUGAAUAUGAAAAUUUUUUCAUUUUGCUUCAAAAUAAAAUAAAAAUCACAUGUUAAAUUUAAUAAUAAAAAUUAUUUACAAUAAGUUAAAAAAAAAGCAAAAAGAGUUUAAAACAAAUUAAAAUAGUAUACUAAAUGUGACACCCCAAUUAUAUUAUAAAGAUAUAUAAUAUAAUAAUAAAGGCGUCACCAUGAAUAAUAUUAGAAAGCAGUUAAGAGUAAUAGGAUUACAGUCAUCCUUAAACAGUAAAAUUUGGAAACUUUGAGUACUAGAGUUUCUCCCCUCUAAUACAGAGAAUUUAAAACUUAGAACAUGACAAAGUUUCUUCAAAAUAUCCUAGGAUAAGAUAAUUAAAGCCUAGAGAACUAGGCAACAACAUUUCCUUCUCCAUCAAGAGCUGUUUCCAAAGUAUCUCCUCGUCAUCUGCUCCCAUCCAAGUGGAUGAUCAUCGUAAGGGAAACAAACGCAAACAUGGCACAAACACAAGCAAUUGCAAGGAUGAGCUAAUUAUAUAAAAAUAAUACAAUUAAGAGCAUGUACACACAAGAUAUUAAUUUAAAGCAAACAAGAUAAAACAUUCAUCCUAUCAUGUUAAAUACUAGACUUGACUCGUCCGGACUUUAGCAUGAUAGUCGAGCUAUGGCGGGUCAUGCACCCAUGGUGGCUUGUGAUACUUAGGCUCCACCGCCUUGGGCUCCCCCGCCCUGGGCUCCACCGCCCUGCCAAAUUCACGAGGUUGGUCUGCUCCGCGUCCUAGAGCAUGAUGGAAGCCUCCAAGACUAAGACAUCCUGCUACUCUUUAACACAUGGUUCAGUCCUCUCUACGUGAGAAGAAAGACCAUUGGAGCGUCAGUAAGACCCCCAAGACUGAGCUCCUACUUUCAUUCUAAAACACUAAGAAUCUCACUAAGAGAUUCUACACAGAUGGAACUUGAUUUACCACUUGGACUGUACUUUUAUCACUUUGUAAUCAUAUACUUUUUGUCUCAAUCAACAUAUAUACAUUACUCACCAAUCACAAGUUAUAAAAAUAACAUCUCCAUAAUUGAAUUUAAGUUAAUCAAUACCAAGAACCAAACAGUUCCAACUAACUCAUAACAGCUCAUAAAAUGCAUCAAUUUAUACAUACCUACAAGUAACAUAAUUAUUAGUUAACACUCACCUUUCAAUAUAAAAAACAACUAUCCUUACUUUAUAUAUAAAUAUCUAUUUUAUAUUAAUAUAAUAUAUACCAUACGUACUAUAUCCUUGUAAAUAUAUAUAUAUUUAUAUUAUAUUAAACUAAUAUAUAUAUAUAUAUAUAUAUAUAUAUAUAUAUAUAUAUAUAUAUAUAUAUAUAUAUAUAUAUAUAUAUAUAUAUAUGGAUCCUUAUUUUAAAUUCCAAACACAUAAAGACUAACUUCCUAAAAUUAUAACUGAAUUAACACAUGAUAUCUUUAUGCAUCUACAAUAAACUUGUUUUAUUUUAUUUUCAUCAUAGUAGAGAUCUUACUUUCCCUCAAUUGGUCACCGGAGAGGACCCAAAUGUUUGAACGCAACAAACUCACCUUCGACGCCAGCACAUAUGACUAGUCACAACUGACUGGACCAGGCUAGGGCUGCUUUAUGAUCAAGGAUGUGCCAACUCAGGUUUUUAAGGUUCCUCUAUCCUACCAACAAAGAAAGGCUCUCAACAAUUAACAAUUAAUUUAUUUAAAUUAUCUACCAUGUUCUCUCAUGCUCUCUAAAUCUGAAAUGCCUAAUUUUAAUAUUUCACUUCCUCUCACAGCAACCUUAAAAGUACUUGUACACCUAUUUAAUACCCAUAUACAUGCUAUCAUAGAGCCCUUACUCCACACCCUCCAACCAAAUCCAUUUCAACCAAAACAGAUUAAUUUCAACACAAACAUUUACAAACAUAAAUUUCCACAUGUACCAGUUUAACACCAAAGCACAAAUUAUUUAAGCAUAAUUUCACAGUCUUAGUUAUAACAUCCAAUAAAAUUUAAAAUCAUAGAACAACUUCACAAGAACACACCAGUUCAAUAUUCAACAUGCAUAUAUUUUUAUAAAUUAAAUUCAUACAAAAUAAUUAGCUCCUCUUAUCUGGAAACACGCAACAAUACAACUAGCAAUAUAUGCCCUAAUAGUAACCUCCGUAUAGAAAAUGGUUCAUAGGACCUACAACCACCAAUUUGAUGUAGAGUGCAGCUCUUAAAGCUAGAACAUAACAGAAAUCAAAAAGAGGAAGGUUCUAACUACAUAAAAUCAGUAGAACCCCUAGCCCUAAGUUUCGAAAACAACGGAGAAAAGUGAAAAACUACUUACCGGUGAAAAUCGAAAAAUCAAUCGGAUGGUUUUGAAACUCUCGACGCCGCGGUCACUUGAACACCUGCUAAUCAAACAUGCAAUGGAACAAUUUGUGUGGAGGCUAAAGACAGAGAGAAUAAGAAAGAGCUUUCUAGAGAGAGAUAAACAUUCUAAGAAAAUGAGUUCUGCUUCUUAGAAAAUACAACGGCAACACAAGAACCUGUUUCCCUUUUUGACCAAAAAAUCCCUCUCUUUUCACUUAAUUUCGUUUUUAUCCUCAUUUUCUUUUAAUAUAAUUAUAUAUAUAAUCAGGUCUUUACACUAAAUAAACAUAAUUCUUUUAAAAUAAUAAAGUAAAAAGUACAAACAAUUUUUUAUCACUUUAUCUAUUUCUUUUACUUGCUUUUCAACAAUUUUUUUUUAUAAAUAGCCUACAAUUCUUUUGCAAGGUUAAAUUCAUGUAAGAGAGGAUCUGCUGCGUUGUGUAGGGAGAGGAAAAAAAGAAUUUAACCGCUUCGGCGGCAGAGGAUUUGAUUGAAAUAAAUUAUACCAAAUGUGGACAUUAAAACUUUUUCAAAAAAUUAGACCUUGACAAGUUGUAGUAAAAUUAGAGACAAUAAAUUAUUAAAUCUUAUUUUACUUUUUAAUCUUGUUUUAAUAAUUUUUAUUGUAGAUAUUGAUAUUUUUAUUGUAGCCUUAAAAAAAAUAAAAGUUAAAUAAGACUAAUUAUAUUAUUAAUAAAGUAAAAUGAACUUAAUUUCUCUAUUCUUAUAAAAAAAAAUGACAUAACUGCGGAGAUUUUGAAAAACCGUCAUUAUUUGCCGGCGUUUUCAGAUUCGUGAGGACUUACUAGGUUCUCUAAAAUCGUCCCUAGCUGCUUGGAUUACAAAAUAAGGAUUUACAAAACCUUCAGGAGUAAAAUCUUUGAACUUUUUCUUUUUUAUAUUACUGAAAUUAAUGUAUAAUCAUAAACAAUGCUUUAAUAAUAAACCACAGAAUCAAAUAAUUUGAAACCAAAUUUAAAUACUAUCAUGUAAAGUAAACUCUAAACAUUAGAAAUACAGUUUAAAUUUUCUCAACACAAGUAAUAAACAAUGUUCAAUCCUAAAAAUUUUAAAAACAUAUUGUCAAUAACAUUCAUUUUGUUAUCCUCAUCCAUUUGUAUGUUUCCUUUAUUAGAUGCUUCCAAUAAAAAAAUAUUAAUUAGUUAGUAAUACAUUAAAAAAAUAGACGAAUUUAAGAGUUAUUUAUAUGGUUAAAAAAUGUUAAAAUGUGAAGACAAAUGAUCAUGAUAAUUUUGAAUCAUUAGUGUCAUCAUUGUUUUUAUUUUAUUGAUUUGUGAUGUGAAUUGAAAUGAAAAAAAAUUAUUUGAAAAGUAAGAAAUUUUUAGCCAAAUUAUUAAUAAUAAUAAGUAAAUAUUGAUAAAAUAUUUAUUAAUUUGAAAUUGUAAUUUUAAAUAAGAAAGAGAAGUUGAAGAUAAUUCAUUGUGACAAUGACCGUUCAUUCCAAAGAUUUUAGGUGGGUAGGCAUCCAAAACUACAUUGCAAACAUAUUCACAAUGUUGUUGAGUUUCUAAAGCAAGAAUUAAUGAAUGUGAACUUGAAAUUUCUUUUGAUUGAAAUGAUGAUGUUCCUGUGGAUUCAUAUGAUUUAAUUUUUCUUAUAUACAAUUUUUAAUAAAAAGGUGGUGAUACAGAAAUACAACAAAUAGAUACCAAGCAUUGCAUCAAAUAUGAUGAAGAUGAGAAUAGCAAUAAAGUAAAAAGAAAUGAAUUGUGGUACUAAAUAAAAAAUGACCUCAGAAAAAAAAUAUAUGUUAAGUGCAUGCAUGGAAAUAAAUUGUGGUGUCUUAAUAUUAUUUACUACCUGUAAUAUUUUGUUCCUUUCAUCGAAAGUAUGGACUCUUACUUCUACAUGAUUGAAACUCCACCCCCUGUAACGAAUGCAUGCACAAAAACAACUAUUAUUACUACAUCUACAUAAGAACUCUGCGAGAUGGCUUAGCAUACAUAUGCAAAUAUGUCAGAAAGCUCAUGUCACUAUUAUAUGUUCAGUGAAAUCAUAUAUGCAACCUUUCUCCCAAGCUAAUGUUCAGAUACUAUUGUAGCUUUCAGUUAGGUCUUUCUUUGCGUGCUUAUUCUUUUAAGACAUUCUAAUUGAAAUGAUAAUAGUUAUAACUCAAGCAACAAAAUACAACUCAUGUAAUAACUACCCAAUCAUAUUAAGUUUACAGUCAACAGAAGUUUAUGUUUUGUAACAUUAAUAUAAAAAUGUAAACAGACUGAUAAAAAAAGACAUAGGAGUGUUUGGUUAGAAUUGAACCCUAACUCUUAGUGAAUGGUUUGAGGCUCUUGUGUACCAAUAGGGUCUUACAUCUUAGUGAAUCCUAACUCAUAAUCUUCCAUUUAUAAAAUUGCUUCUAUUGUGGUUUUAGAAGACUUACAUAUAUGUUAUAUAUCCUUUCUGAAUGACUGUUUCUCGAUAGAUAAAUUUGUUUCUGUCUUUCCCUUCCAGGUUCUCUAACCAAUAUGAAGUUUUAUGUGCUAUUCUAUAUAUUUAUACACUCAUAAAAAUCUGAUGUGAAGGGACCGACCAUGGCAUUUCCUAAUCUGACCAAUUUGAAUCUUUUGCAAAGACUGUAAGUUGAAAACAUCAUUGCUCUUACGUGAAGAGCUAUAUAAUUCAUUCAGGCUUUUAAUCUUCAACCUUCCAACACAGAAACUCUAACAACCACACACCUCCACCAUAUAGCACCAACAACGCGCCACUAUGAAACACCUGUAUGUACAGUUCAGAAAUCAAGAUGCAUUUUCCUAAAUAAAUUCCUAAACCGUAAAUCCCUAAAUCAUAAAUCUUUAAAUCGUAAAUUUCUAAAUUGUUACUUCAUAAACAACAUAGAAUCAUAAAUCAAGAUGUAGUUCUCAUGUUUUCUUUUAUUUCCCACAUAAUAAAAAAUAAAACCAAACAUUCCGUCCAAACAACCAAAAACCAAUAACAGAGCACACAUUCAUUAUAUUUAUUUUCAAAACAAAAUAACUCAAAUGCAAUUCUACUAAAUUUGAGCUGCAAACUCAAAGUGUAGAAAGAAAGUGAACAUAAAAGCCAUAAAUUAAAGACAAAUGAGAUAUGAAAGGUGAGAGGAAAGAAAGGGAAAGUGGAAGUUUGAAAACCUAGUAUGGGUGCAAUGUGUACAGCAGAAAGGAAAAGUGAAAGUUUGAAACCUUAAUAUGAACCAACCACAUAGGCAAAAAACAAACACUUCCUUUUCUGAUUGCUCCCUUAGACAUUGUUUUGUUAAUGAUUUAGACACUGUCGAAAAAAAAAUCAAAUUAAAUAAAAAUUAUAAAAAUUACAAAAUCACGUUAAACACUAAAAAAAGUCAAGUCUCACAUUAAAUAAAUUAAACAAAAAUAAGGACAAAAAAUUGAACACUUUAUGUUUUACUAUUUAUUAAUAUUAAAUCAUAUGUUUUAUAAAAGAAUUAAAAAUCUUCCUAUUUUAAUUUUUUUUUAUAGAUUUCGUUGCAUAAACACAAAAUAAAAAAUAAAAAUGAGAGGAUAAGAUAUCCUCUCAUCCCAUAUUUCUCCGCCACUAAAACUUGAGAAAUGGUACCCAUCUCAAUGUGGUGUGAGGUUGAAAAUUUAAUUGAUUGUUUCAAUUGAUUUGUUCAAUAACAUGCUUUGAAAGAAAUGCAUCGGACAUAACUUUACUAAUAAAGGAUAGAUCUAAUGAUGAGACAAACAUCCUCUGAAAGGAGAUAUUUUGUAGCAAACAUCCAUGUCCUUUAUUAAUAAAGAAAACACUUUCACACAUUCCAUCAAAUUUCAUAUUUCUGAGUCUCGCUUCAUAUCAAUUCUUCUUUUUAUUCUGGUCGCAUUUUCUUACAUAUNNNNNNNNNNNNNNNNNNNNNNNNNNNNNNNNNNNNNNNNNNNNNNNNNNNNNNNNNNNNNNNNNNNNNNNNNNNNNNNNNNNNNNNNNNNNNNNNNNNNNNNNNNNNNNNNNNNNNNNNNNNNNNNNNNNNNNNNNNNNNNNNNNNNNNNNNNNNNNNNNNNNNNNNNNNNNNNNNNNNNNNNNNNNNNNNNNNNNNNNNNNNNNNNNNNNNNNNNNNNNNNNNNNNNNNNNNNNNNNNNNNNNNNNNNNNNNNNNNNNNNNNNNNNNNNNNNNNNNNNNNNNNNNNNNNNNNNNNNNNNNNNNNNNNNNNNNNNNNNNNNNNNNNNNNNNNNNNNNNNNNNNNNNNNNNNNNNNNNNNNNNNNNNNNNNNNNNNNNNNNNNNNNNNNNNNNNNNNNNNNNNNNNNNNNNNNNNNNNNNNNNNNNNNNNNNNNNNNNNNNNNNNNNNNNNNNNNNNNNNNNNNNNNNNNNNNNNNNNNNNNNNNNNNNNNNNNNNNNNNNNNNNNNNNNNNNNNNNNNNNNNNNNNNNNNNNNNNNNNNNNNNNNNNNNNNNNNNNNNNNNNNNNNNNNNNNNNNNNNNNNNNNNNNNNNNNNNNNNNNNNNNNNNNNNNNNNNNNNNNNNNNNNNNNNNNNNNNNNNNNNNNNNNNNNNNNNNNNNNNNNNNNNNNNNNNNNNNNNNNNNNNNNNNNNNNNNNNNNNNNNNNNNNNNNNNNNNNNNNNNNNNNNNNNNNNNNNNNNNNNNNNNNNNNNNNNNNNNNNNNNNNNNNNNNNNNNNNNNNNNNNNNNNNNNNNNNNNNNNNNNNNNNNNNNNNNNNNNNNNNNNNNNNNNNNNNNNNNNNNNNNNNNNNNNNNNNNNNNNNNNNNNNNNNNNNNNNNNNNNNNNNNNNNNNNNNNNNNNNNNNNNNNNNNNNNNNNNNNNNNNNNNNNNNNNNNNNNNNNNNNNNNNNNNNNNNNNNNNNNNNNNNNNNNNNNNNNNNNNNNNNNNNNNNNNNNNNNNNNNNNNNNNNNNNNNNNNNNNNNNNNNNNNNNNNNNNNNNNNNNNNNNNNNNNNNNNNNNNNNNNNNNNNNNNCCUCUAACUUUACUUGGUGGAAUUUGUAGAAUGGACACCAACUUUGGAAGUGAAAUGGGUUGACCAUGGUUGUGGAUGAUGUCUGGUAUGCCAAGNUCAAUCAUCCAUUUAACACUCAUACAAUCUAUUGUAUGGGCAUACAAGUNUUUGUACAAGUGAACUUGACCUUCAAAGAUCUCACUCGCUUUUAGGACAUUAUUUGAAGCCAUAAUUUGAUGUGAAUCUGUAUUUUGUGUGGUGUUUCGGACUUUCUCGCCCUUUAUAUAAAGAUUCAAAAACCUAAAUUUGUAUUUUCGCUUUUAGUCUAUUCGGAUUUGAAUCCAUGUUAAGAUGAAUUGAUUAUUUUCANAAGUUAUGAAGUCGUUGCUUGUUUCAUUUNAUUGUAAAAUAUCUAUGUAUUUUCAGAAAUAAAAUAUACCCGAAUUUUCUAGUAUUACGUGGCACUCUCUCCGUCCACUUGUUUUGUUACAUUCAUUUCACACGAGGGAGUAAAAUAAUUAUAAAAAAUAAAUUUUUGUAUUUAUGGAGAAAAAAAAUAAUAAAGGUUUAUAGGGAUUAAAGCUUCUCGUUAACCCAUAGGAGAAAUCACGGACAAAGAGAGGGUCUGUUGCGUUAGGCAAAACAGAGAAGAAAAAAAAAAUUAUUUUAAGGUUUCUACCUAUUUAACAAGAAAGAUUUAAUUGAAGUAAAUUAUAUCAACUGUGGACGAAAUUAAUUUUUUUUUAAAAGGUUUGACCAAUUUGACAUAUUGUAAUAAAAUUAGAGACAAAUAAAACAAUUAAAUAUUUAUUUUAUUUUGUAAUCUUGUUUUAAUAAUUUUUAUUGUAGAUUUUAUUGUAGCCGUAGAAGCAAUAAAAGUUAAAUAAGACUAAUUAUAAUAUUAAUAAAGUAAAAUGUACUUAAUUUCUCUAUUCUUAUAAAAAAUAUGUAAUUGCAGAGAUUUUGAAAAACCGUCAUUAAUGUUAUAAUGUGAAGACAAAUGAUGAUCAUGAUAAUUUUGAAUCAUUAAUCUCAUUAUUGUUUUUUGUUUUUAUUUCAUUGACUUGUGAUAUAACAAAAGAUACUUAAAAUGAAAAAAAAUUAUUUGAAAAGUAAAAAAAAAUUUAACCAACAAGUUAUUAAUAAGAACAAUAAAAGAAGUAAAUAUUGAUAAAAUAUUUAUUAAUCUGAAAUUGUAAUUCUAAAUAAGAAAAAGAAGUUGAAGAUGAUUCAUUGUGACAAUGACUAUUCAUUUCAAAGAUUUUAGGUCACCCAAACCUAGACGACUGUGAAUGUGUCCACAAUGUUUUUGAGUUUCUAAGACAAGAGCUAAUGAAUAUGAACUUGAAAUUUCUUUUGAUUGAUGUUGCAGUGAAUUCAUAUGCUUUAAUUUUUCCUACAUACAUUUAAUAAAAAAGAUGGUGAAACAGAAAUACAACAAAUAGAUACCAAGCAUUGCAACAAAUAUGAUGAAGAUGAGAAUAGUAGAAAGUAAAAAGAAAUGAAUUAUGGUACUAAAUAAAAAAUGACCUCAGAAAAAAAUAUAUAUGUUCAGUGCAUGCAUGGAAAUAAAUUGUGGUGUCUUAAUAUUAUUUACUACCUGUAAUAUUUUGUUCCUUUCAUCGAAAGUAUGGACUCUUACUUUCACAUGAUUGAAACUCCACCCCCUGUAACGAAUGCAUGCACAAAAAGAACUAUUAUUACUAACACAAAAUAUCGAUUCGUACGUAACAGGGACCAAUGUUUCUUGGAAGCUUACAACCAUUAACAUGUCACUAUUAUAUGUUCAGUGUAUAUGCAUGUCUCUAUUACCAAAAUAUAUAUACUCGUACGUGUUGAAAGGGCUGUGUUCCAAACAACCUAACCUAUACAGUGUACAACCUAACCUAAAGAGCGGAGUCCAGAAUGAGCAACGUAAUAAGCACCGAUAGAAAAAUUAUUACGCAAAUUUUCUUUGAGGUCAAUUUAACUUACACUAAUUUCCCUUGUUUUAUCACUUACAAAAUCUCCAUGGAUAGUUAUCUAUACUUCUCUUCUAUUAACUUUGUGUCCAUACUCUAUUUUUUAUAUAAAAAAAAUAUUUUACAUAUUAAAUAUGUGAUAAAUAUAAUGAAAAUUUUAAAAUUGAAGAAUAAUAACGCUUCCUAUUUUCUUUUCUUUUCCUAACAAUGUUCUUGGAUCCUUGUGUGAGAAAGAGUUUGUUUUUUUUUUGUGCAUUAUAGGUUUUAUUUUUGUUCUUUCUUUAAGUCGAUAGUAAAAAAAAAGUCUAAUGAUAUUUUUCUAUUUCUUCUGGAACCAUUGCAAUCAAUUGAUGAUGUUUAAUAUGUGUCAUCAUAUUUUUGUUGUCAAAACUUUUGUGAUAAUUUCUCCAUUUAUGAUUAAGUAUGUAAUGUUAGAUUUUAUGAUUGACAGAUAUCAAUUAUGUGUCGUGAUUAGUAAAAAAUUAGAUAUUUAGAUAACAUUUUUUUAACAACAUUUGAAUAUUGAUUAUGUGUCGUGAUUAGUAAAAAAUUACUUCACAAUCAAUAAUAAUAAUCAUAAACAUUAUUGUGGAGUAAUUUUUUACCAAUUACGGAUUGACACAUAAUCAAUGUUCAAAUGUCGUCAAAAAAAAGUUGUUUAAGUAUCAUUAUCCGUUAGUUUUUUUAUAGAUUUCAUUACAUAAACACAAAAAAAAAAUAGAGGAUAAGAUACCCUAUCCUCCCAUAUUUCCCCGCCACUAAAACUUGAGAAAUGGUCCCCAUGUCAAUGUGAUGUUAAGGUUGAAAAUUUAAUUGAUUGUAUCAAUGAUUCAAUAUCAUUCAACUCAUCUUAAUUAUAUCGAUUGGUUUAUGUAAAUUUAAAAAUUCAAUAAANACUGGUAAGUACUUCAGGUUUNAUAUCCAAUUGCAAGAGUUGAGAAUUNAUNUAUUAACUAUUAGAAUUUAAGUCUGUGUAUAACAUAAAUAUGACUGACAACCUUUCAUGUAUCACUUUAGUCUUAUGUUUUAUAGCAACUACUCACACUUUAAUUUACAAUUUCAUAAGUCUCAACAGUGAAGUAUAUAUAUAUUUGAGUGUAAGCAUCUGCCAUUAAAAUAGAUUUUGUUGUAUCGUUUCAUUGCAUCUCCCAAACUUGGGAUGUAGUUAGAUAGUUUAUAGUUUUCUGCUUUUAUAAGCUACGCAGGCCUUUGACCUCAACGAAGAAAACCUCGUUUUACCCUAAAUAUAUUUGAUUGCAUAAAUGAUAACGAAAAAUGGUUAUAAAACAAAGUUAUCGUUUCCAUUUUUAAUAAAAAAGUGAUAAAAUAUACUUGGUGGAUUUUCCUAAAUAAAUAUUUACAUUUUUGAAUUUUAAAUUUGACCAAUUUAAUUGGAUUUGGAUUCAAUUCAUAUUGGAUAAGUUAUGGAUUUUUGAAAAUUUAAAAUUAAAAUAAGUCUAAGAAAAGUUGAGUAGGACAAAUAAGAAUUAAGUUAAAUCAAGUCAAUUUAGAUAUAAAGUUGAACAAAAUUCGCUUAAAGCAUAUCCUGAAAACAAAUCGACCUACUAAAUAUCCAGUAUUUAAAAGUAAGACAAAUUAAUAAACUUAAUUAAUAGUUAAAAGUCCAUAUUUAAUAAACUUAAUUAAUAGUAAGAUAAAUUAAAUUAAUCUCGUUUAAUUUAAUUUAAUUGAUAAAGUGAUUCAAUAUAAAUUUAGUUCAAUUUAAAGAUUUAAAAAAAUUAAAAUCUAAUUAAUAUAUUUGAAAUGAAUUGAGAUUGUAAAUUCAAUACAUUGUAUUAGAUUAGAUUUGAUUAGACUGGUUUUGAAAAAUGUAUUGCACAUUUCCUUUAUUAAUAAAGCAAAACUUUAACACAUUCCAUCAAAUUUCAUAUUUCUAGUCUUGUUCCUAUCAAUUCUUCUUUUUAUUCUGGUCCCAUUUUCUUACUAUCAAUUAUUGAUAAGGGAAAAUAAGCAUUGGGACCUUGUACGUUCAACAACAUGCGUUGAAGAAAUGCAUCGACAUAACUUCAGUAAUCAAAUGUAAAAUAAUAUUUUGACACCAAUUUUUUGACACCAUUUUAACACUAUACACGUGUCAAAACGUGGUGGUAUGAUUUUAAAUUAAAAAAAAAACUUUGAUUUUUUUCUUUCAAAUAUGUCUUUGUUUCAGUUUUUUAAUUUGAAAUCAUCCAACCACGUUUUGACACGUGUGCAGUGUCAAAAUAGUGUGAAAAUUUGAUUUCAAAAUAUCAUUUUCCAAUCAAUCAAGGAUAGAUCUGAAUGAGAUUCAAAUGUACUGUGAAAGGAGAUAUUUUGUAGCUUUGGAACCCUGCUUCCACAAACACUUUCUUCCAUUCUUCUUCUCUUCUUUCUUUUCCAUUAAAAAGACAUGUCAUGUGAACAUCCAUGAGGAGCUUUAGUCCAGUAAGUCCCUGCUCAUCUUGCCCUUCGUUUAUCACAUUUUCUAUCACAAUUACUUUUCCUCUUUUGCCUUUACCAGAAAUAGCUUCUCUGCAAUUUUCUAAUAUCUUCUUACAAUCCUUGUCACUCCAAUCAUGAAGAAUCCACUUCAAAAAAAUUUAUAAAUUUUUUAAUAACAUGAAUCGAAUAUUAAAUUCGUAUUCUAUUUUAUAAAAAAAAAAAAAGUUGCAGUAAAGAAAGAAGUUUAGGAAACAUUCGUUUAUAGAUGCCUACCUUGAGCAGAACUGCAUCAGCCUUGGGAAUAGAUUCGAACAUGUCACCACCAACAUAAGUCAAAUUCUUGGUUCCCGACAGCUUCUCCACAACCUGUGGACGAUCAAACACAGUGCACUUCACGUUAGGAAAUGCAUCACAGAUAGCCUUAGCUGUGUUUCCGGUUCCACCUCCGACAUCCACAAUGGUCUCCACUCCUUCGAACACCCAUUUGCAACCUCUUAAUGCCAGAUUCAUCAUCUGAGAAUCACUAGCCAUUGCCUCAUUGAACGACUCGUUCAUUGCUGGGUUUUUACUAAGAAUGUCCCAGAAAUUUGAUCCAAGGGAGACAUCAUACAGUGUAAGAUCAUCCUCAUAAGUCCACUUCCUCAAGUGAGACCAUAUAUCUGAUAAAGUUGGGUUAGUUAUACCCUUUACCAUUGGUGCAAGACAAAAGUCAGUGCCUUUGACAAGAAGGUGUGAUGCAGGUGUUAGAGUAAAUGCUUCGUUUUCUUCUGUGCUGUGAUGGACUCUUACAAUCCGAAGGAAUCCAUUGUGUGCCAGGUAGCGUAGGAGACUCUUCACGCCUCUAACUUUACUUGGUGGAAUUUGUAGAAUGGACACCAACUUUGGAAGUGAAAUGGGUUGACCAUGGUUGUGGAUGAUGUCUGGUAUGCCAAGCUCAAUCAUCCAUUUAAUACUCAUACAAUCUACUGCAUGAGCAUACAAGUGUUUGUACAAGUGAACUUGACCUUCAAAGAUCUCACUCGCUUUUAGGACAUUAUUUGAAGCCAUAAUUUGAUAUGAAUAUGUAUUUUGUGUGGUGUUUCACACUUUCUUGCCCUUUAUAUAAAGAUUCAAAAACCUAAAUUUGUAUUUCCGCUUUCAGUCUAUUGGGUAAGUUGAAUUGAUUAUUUUUCAGAAGUUAUAAAGUUGUUUUUUAUUUCAUUAAAUUAUAAGAUAUCUAUGUAUUUUCAGAAAUAAAAUAUACACGAACUUUCUAAUAUUACGUGCAAUUCGGUCUUUUUUUUUUUCAAUUACUUAAAAAAGAACGACAAUGACAAAGAUAUAUUAACAUUUGAUCAUAUUUUAACUAAAAUAGAACCUCUCAUUUUUUAUUACAUUUAUAAUGCAUUAACAUAAUAUUAAAUAAAUAUUAAAUUAAUAAAAAAAUGACACGUAUAUUAUAUUAAAAAAGUUAUAAAAAAAUUGUGUCAAAAAUAUUUUUUUAAAAAGAAAUAGCUCUUUAAAAUUACAUAACAGAACUCUAUAAAAAAACAAAUGAGAGGAUAAGAUAUCCUCUGCUCCCAUAUUUCUCCGCCACUAAAACUUGAGAAAUGGUCCCCAUUUCAACGUGGUGUGAGGUUGAAAAUUUAAUUGAUUGUAUCAAUGAAUCAAUAUCAUUAAAUUUAUCUUAAUUAUAUCUGUUGGUUUAUGUAAAGUUAAAAAUUGAAUUAAUAGUUAAUGUCUUUACUAAGAAAACUUAUUGUAUACUUGAAUUUAUACUUUAUUUAUGUCUUAUUUUAUCUUUUUUUAAUUGUCUGUUGUAUAAUAAUCAAUUUAAUUAUAAUAAAGAUUUCGAUGAACUUAGGAAAUAUAGCUAAAAUAAAUUAUAAAGAUCUAUCUCUAUAGAUAGAAAAUGAAAAACACAAAUCAAAUAAGCAAUAUUAUUUUAUGUACAAUAGUGGAGAAGUAUACAGAAUAAAAAAAAUUCACUUUGUUUCAUAUAUAUUACCGUUCAAAUUCAUUGGUUUAAAGAACAAAACACUACAAAAAGAUUAUAAUAUAAUAGGGGUUUCUUUUCUGCGGUUUUGAAAACCUCUCCUAAAUUUGAGCUGUUUUAAUGAAAACCGCAACUAUGUUUUCUCUUUUCUAUUAAAAAAAAAAAUUGGCUAAUUUUACAGCUUUCUCUUCACUCCGUCUUCACACUUUCCCUUCUUUUCCUUUGCACCCUUGCUUUCUGCAUUUUUUUCCUCUCUGACUCUCGUUCUUCACCACACCUUCCCUUUGUCUUUUCUUCUUCCCUUUGUCUCUAGUUCUUUCACAUUAACUUCUCAUUCGCAUUGCCUUUCUUUUGCUUUUUUAUCUUUUCCACUCAGUCACUCGUUCCCCAACCCUAAUUUUCAUUUUGUUGCAUCUUCACGUCGCUGCCUCUCCAAUGUCACUCUACGUCGGUGACCUCCAUUCUGACGUCUCCGACAGCUGCCUCAUCGAUGUAUUCUCCGAGUUCAAGAGCCUUAACUCCGUUCGCCACUGAAAACAAUAUUUCGAAACAUACUUUUCACCUUCCUUGAUAUAACCAACGCCAAAACACAACAAAAAAUGAAGCUAGUGUGCACAUUGUACUAAAUGAUUUAACAUGAAACAAAUUAUUGAAAAGAAAUUGUUGUUGACUAUGUUCCCUUAUUCAAAAAAGAGACUACUACUCGUUCCCUUUCGAACGUUUCAUAUUGAUAAGCAUAUUUUCAUUUUAUUUUUGUAAAAAGAAUAAAAAUAUUCUAAGAAAUUACACACCUUCUAUAUUUGAGCAAAUUACAGAAUAUUGAGUAGUUUUCAAGAAGAAGAACUGUAUUGACCAACUAUAUAAAAAUCAAUCAACCAAAAUUUUGUAAACUAGUCAUAAUGAACCUGUUAGCUCUCAGUUGGACCAGAAAAUUACUUUCCAAACUAAAUCACAUCAUGUAAGUUUAUUUUAAAAAAUUCACAUCUCCAACUUGUUUGUUCAAUAAAAAUAUGAUGUUGUCAUUUUGAUUUAUCAUUUGCUGCAGAAGUGAAAUUAAGAAAAACAAAACGCACUGAAUUUCAAAUUGCAAUUUAAACUUAAUAAAUAUGUUACCAUCACAUUCAUAGUUUAACUUCUACUUGUUUAUUUUUUUAGUUUUGCAAUUAUUAAAAUUAUUGUAGACUUUAGUUUUUUACAAAAUUUAAUAACAAUCAGAAGGAAAAAGAUAUAACACAUCAAAAAUUAACAUCAACAUCAUCAAUUAUUUUGUUAUUAAAGUAGAAAACAAAUGAAUGAAAGAAGCAAAAGCAAAAAAUUACUAUAUCACGGAUUACUGUGUGAGUGAGAAAAAUGAUGAAGAUGAGACAGAAACAAAUUGGAUAAGUAAAGAAGGUGGAUUAUGGUUAGGUGAGUGUUUUUUAUUUUUUUUUUAAUUGGGGCUACUGUGGUGAUGAGAGAGAAGGUUAGAGUGAGAGAGAUGAAAUAUAAAGGGUUGAGAGGAAUAAGGGAUGAAAGAGGGGUCAAUAAGGGUUUCUUGUUUUUUUUUUUUUUUUGAGAAUUGAAAUCAUUCAAUUAUCCUUAAUUAUAAAACUUAAAAUCCAAAAUAUAUGAGGGUAUUUUUGUCUACUAAAAUCUGAUACACUUUGCUAAAAUGUAUAAAUUGAAAAANNNNNNNNNNNNNNNNNNNNNNNNNNNNNNNNNNNNNNNNNNNNNNNNNNNNNNNNNNNNNNNNNNNNNNNNNNNNNNNNNNNNNNNNNNNNNNNNNNNNNNNNNNNNNNNNNNNNNNNNNNNNNNNNNNNNNNNNNNNNNNNNNNNNNNNNNNNNNNNNNNNNNAUAUAUAUAUAUAUAUAUAUAUAUAUAUAUAUAUAUUCUUUAAUUAUUUUAUACUUUUGUCUAUAGAAAAAAUAAAAUAUGAAAAUAUCAAUUUAAAUACAUAAAAGUUAUUAAAUUUAUUCACGACAAUGAUUAAGCUUUUUCAAAUAUAUGUUGAAAUAAUACGAAAAUUUAUAAUUACGUAUAAAAAAUUGGUGUAUAUAAUUUUUAUUUUCAUUUUAUUAUUAACUUUUUAAGAGAAAACUAUAAUUAUUAAUUGAUUUUUCAGAAGUAAUUAUUAUUUUGAAAUAGUUUAUAUAAAACUGUACAUGUUACAUUUUUGUUUUUUCCUUUUUGCUUUUUUCAGUGUACAUUUAGUUUCUACGAGCAAUAAUUUAUAUAUAUAUAUAUAUAUAUAUAUAUAUAUAUAUAUAUAUAUAUAUAUAUAUAUAUUAGUUAUAUUAUGGAUACGGUUAUAGGGUCAAGAUUAGAGUUCUACAAGGUCGAUGUCUAAGUUCUACUUAAUGUUGAACGGUUAUGCUUUUGCCUUUGUUAUUGCUCGUCUUUUAUUCUGAUGUCAAAAUCAGUAAAGAUUUAUCCAAUGCAAUAGUUAAUGUAUAACAAAUUCAACCAACUUAUCUCACUUCUUUAAACAUGUAUUAAUAGAUCUUGGAGUACGCUUCAUAUUAACACUGACCAAAUUACGACCCAAUUAAUAAUGAUCAUAUUUUGGCUUAAGUUAAUCAACAUCAAUCUUAAUUGUUAUUUAAAGAUCAACAUUCGGUUCAUGUUGUUCAACCAACCAAUCUCUGGGUGGUUUAUUGGAUGUUCUUACAUGUGUGGAUCGUCAGGUAAGACCGGACGUCCAUACAAAGAAAGAUGACUGAAAGAUGAAAUGUGUCUUUUUCUAAUAAAAAGAAGGAGAAAUAGAAGACAAAGAAGCACAAGUAGUAGAUUUUGGAUGAAAAAUUUGUUGUUCUUUUUAUCGAUGAUUUUAUUGAUGGAAAAUUUUGUGAGUAAUAACAAAUUUAAAAUUACUGACAGAUUUAUUUCUAUCGAUAAAUCUAUCAAUAAUAAAAAUUUCAAUUAUUGAUGAAGUUUUUUAUUAAUAAAAUCUGUCAGUAAUUUUAAAUUUGUUAUUACUCACAAACAACAAAUCCAUCGAUGAAAAGAACAACAAAUUUUCUAUCCAAAAUCCACUACUUGUGCUUCUUUGUCUUCUAUUUCUCCUCCUUUUUAUUAGGAAAAACACACACAUUUCAUCUUUCUCUUUCUCACUCAAACUUCAUAGGCACCACCUUUCCUAACUACACCACCUUCGCUCGCACAUCAUUCGACGUGUCUAGUGACACAUUUUUUCCCUUUCUUAUAUUCCAUUGUAGAUGUAGGAACACCAUAUUAAGUAGUCAUUGUGCCUCCAUCUCUAUCGUGCUCACCACCACUCAUCAUUCCCACAGGUAGAGUGCCUUCAUCGAGAACGUCACCAAUAUCAUCGACGUAUCAACUAUCUCUCUCUUCUUGUUCACUUCAUGUAUGCAAGGGAAAGUUUUUUCGUAAUCUUCUUCAUCAUUCACAAGAUAUUAAAGUUGUUGCUACAUAAGGUUUCAUCAUCAUUCAUCAUCAAGGCUUUCGACAACAAUGUCAAUCAUCUUGGAAAUGAUCUCUAGCAUCGUUGGUGUCCAUCCAUUUUCAUCAUUGGAACUUAUUUGUUUAUUUAUUUAUUGUUGUUAUGAUUGAUAAGUGUGAAAAAGAGUUGUUUUUACACUUAUAAAUGAGCUCAAUCUUGUAAUUAUUCAUGUUGUUACUUAGUGAAAGUUGUAAUAGGAAGUAGAUUGUUAUGUAAAACAUUGUACAAGAAAGGGUGUAUUAUUUGGACUGUUGUCAGCCAAUUCUCGUUAAGCGCAAGCCAUAAUUCGCACAGUCAGAAGGAAGACAUUCGCACAGCGUACUAACACUGUGCGCUAAACGAAUAACAUCAAUUAAAGAAGUAGCAGUUAAGAAAUUCGCACAGCACACAACUGUGCGCUGAGCGAAUUAAUGAAUUAAAAGAUGUGACAAAAAGACAGAAACUAUCUUCUGACGCAACAAAAAAAAGCACAAAAAAUUCUGGAGAACAUAAGGAGACUUUUCAAGACAUCAAGACUUAACUUUCUGCAAGGAAUUGCUGUAAAGAGUACAUUUUAAAUGUCUAGGAGAGGCUAGUUUUUCUGUUCAUUGGAAUUUCUUGUAUGACGAUACAUUAAUGUAAAUUUUCUGUGCAAUAUAUGUUUUUGUUUUGUUCUUUUCUUGACUUGCGUGUGAUUAUACGGAAGUAUAAUUCUUUUUAAACGUUCUUUUGUACUGGGAAGUAUUUUUAGAAAAGAAACGUAAGAAAAAGAAACUAAAAGUUACUAUGCUAAGAAUAGUUUCUGCGGUUUUGGUCAUUCUCAAUAUCUGAAAUUAAUGCAAAAUUAUCUGUUGAAUUAAUUAAGGAAUUAAUAAUUUAAUAGAUAAUUUUAGAACUUGUUUUAAGGAAUUAAAUCAAGAUACGCUUAUGUGAAUGCUUGAACAAAGAACGUAUCUUGUACAGGAUGUUACUGUAAUGUUAGUCAAAGACCAGUUUUAGUGAUCUUUUAUUGUAUUUUACAAUCUUAAAUCAAGAUACGCUUAGAAUGCUUGAACAGAGAACAUAUUUUGUAUAAGAUGUUAUUGUAAUGUUAGUGAAAGACCAAUUCCAGUGAUCUUUUAUUGUAUUUUACAAUCUUAAAUUUUUACAUUGUUAAUUUUAUGCCAUUUUCCCAAAUUGAAAUCAAAAUGUUAUCAUCGGUAAUUGAUUUUGAUAAAUAAUUCUAAUUGAAUAACAUGACUCAAAUUCCCUUAAAAGAAUGAUACUUUACUUAUUCACUAUAUUACUUGUAACGAUUUAGUGUACUUGCCAAAAAAUUAUCAAUGAUUCUCAAAAUAACUCCCAAUGAUAUAAAUGAACUUUCUUGUAACUUCUUUUUGUAUUCUUUUAUUUUCUUUUUGCCAUUCUAAAGUGUAUAUGUGAUUAAAUCUAAUUUAUAUAUGGUUGUUAUUGUGUUGGGGUAUCUUGUUGUGUAUGUUUUGCGAAUGGGGAAGAAAGGUCUCUGGUUCUCCUGUUGUAGGUGUGAAUGAAGAAAGGACGAAGGAGAAAAAUGAUGAAUUAGAUUGCGAUUUUUAUUGACAAAAAAAAUCUGUUAAUAAUGAUUGACGAAUUUUAUCAACAGAUUUUUUGUGAUAAUUACUAACAAUUUUUAUAAAUUGAUUUGUUUAUCGGUAAUUAUUGAUAUAUUUAUCAAUAAAGAUUUUACCAACAAAAAUUUGACAAUAUCAGUGAAUUUUGGCUGAUAUCAGGAUUUCUUAUAAUGGAUACUAACUCCAAUCACCUCGCGAUCUAUAAUGAACAAAUUUAGUGUUAGUAUCUAGUGUCCUAUCAUAAUAUGAUAUUUAGUUUCUAAACAUAUCAUUUAGCUUUUUGAAUCUUUAUAUAAAGGGCGACAAAUUCUUAAACACCACACAGAAAUAUAGAUUCACAUCAAAUUAUGGCUUCAAAUCGUGGGCGUAGCUCAAAUGAGAUCUUUGAAGGUUAAGUUCACUAGUACAAACACUUGUAUGCUCAUGCAGUAGAUUGUAUGAGUAUUAAAUGGAUGAUUGAGCUUGGCAUACCAGACAUCGUCCACAACCAUGGUCAACCCAUUUCACUUCCAAAUUGGUUUCCAUUCUAGAAAAUCCACCAAUGAAAAAAAAAUCUGAGGCUUUAAAAAUUGGUUUAUCAUUUAUGAAAUCAAAUAUAUUUAGUGUAAAGUGAGGCUUUUUUUGAUUGUUAGUGAUUCUUGUAUAUUUAGUAAUGUAACUUAUAGUAGGAGGAAAAAAACAUAAAUUUUCACCAAUAUUAAUCAAAAUAAUUGCACUUGAACAUUUACGUGUUCUUGUGUGAGGUGAUGGUGUCUUCCUUCUUCUUGUGUGACAGGAUUACAUGUUCCUUAACUAGAUUACAAGACUACUCAAGUAGAUUUAGAGGGGAGACUACAGAUGAUCUUUAGGAGAGGCUACAAAUGUCUUAUGUGCUUGUGUUUGUGUAUUUGUGGAUGAUAUUAUCUACGAUGAUCCUAUAAUGUGUUAUACGAAAACGAAUGAUAUUGCAGAUGUUUUAGAGGCAUGAUAGAUUUGUGAGAUGAUGGGAGAAAUAUUUGGAUUUCUUUAAAAAGUUCUUUUGGUCAAGAUUUUUGAAACAAUGUAAUUGUAGUUGUUUUACUUCUUUAGUUAUUUUAAAUACUUUUUAGAAUAAUGUAAUUGGACUUUAAAACUACUCUUUUGAAUAAAAUUAUGUAUGUUAGUUAAGAUUUAUGAAAAAUAAAUUUUUAUACUAUAAAAAAGUAUAUAAAUUUUCAAUUUUUGUAAACAGGUGACAUUCUAAAAUUUGGAACGUUACAAUUUUCAGUCUCAAUGAUUUUGAAAACCCUUACUUUUUAACCCAAGCAACUAGGGACAUUUUUAGAGAACCUCAAUAAGUCUCGGUAGUUUUGAGAACCAACAAGUAACCACACUUUCAAAAACCUCAAUAACUAGUGGUGGUUUUCUACAAUCCUAACAAGUAACGGUAUUUUCUCAAAACCCCACUAUUAUGUUAUAUAAUUUUUAAGAAUAGGAAAGUUAAAUACAUUUUACUUUAUUAAUAAUAUAAUUCGUCUUGUUAACUUUUAUUGUUUGUACUGCUACAAUAAAAAGAUCAAUAUUUACAAUAAAGAUUAUUAAAAUAAGAUUAGGAAAUAAAAUGAAAAAUGAUUUUUUUUACCGACAUAUAAUUAUUUAUAUUAAAAAAUUUAAUCAUGUUCACGAGUUCAAGAAAUUAAAAGAAUGAAAGAUAAUAUAUAUAUAUAUAUAUAUAUAUAUAUAUAUAUAUUCUUUUAUAAUUAUAGUGAUGAAUAUCCGAGAAAAUAGGAGUUACUAUAUGAAAAAACAAAUUCACUAGCAUAUUGAUUAGGAAAACGGAUUUCAAAGUUAAAAAAUUUAAUUUAUUAAUGGUUUUUGUUUUGUGUGUUUAUUUAUUUAACUACGGCUACAAAACAUUGAAACGGUCUAAUCUGACUUCCAAUAAAAUACUUCAUUAUUAAUUAUUCUACUACGAUGACGCAAAAUGGUAAGAUACACGAUAUUUUAAAUCAGAUUCCUAAUAUGUCGAUGAAGUUAUAUAUAGAGAAAUCAGAAGUUGAUGACGUAAACCAGCUAUAUUAACUCAUAUCUUCUCUAAUUUUGUUUGUAUUGAGUUUAAUCGUUAUUUAAGCACUAAACUUUUUACAACCAAUCAAUCAAUCAUAUUAAACAAUAAAUACACAUAUAUAAAAUGGUUAAUUUCAUUUUUACUCAAUUCAAUAUUAUUAUAAAAUAGAUAACUUUUACCAUAUAAUUGAAUCAAGUAAAAUAAAUAUAGAAUAUUUUUUAAAAAAUAGAUCUUAAGUUUAACUUAUUUUAUUUAACUCUACAAAAUUGGUAUGGAAAAUGAUUUUUUUUAUCUAUUUAUAUCUUAUAAAUCUAUCUAUCCAAUUUUCUCCAUAAUCUUAUAAAUUUUUAGAUAACUUUUUAUACAAUCUCGUAUUUUUUUUUUUAUUUUCUUGUAUAUUUUUAUUCUUCAAUCCAAUGACUUUGAACUGUAAUAUAUAUGAAACCAAGUGGAUUUUUUUUAUUCCGUAUACUUCUCCACUAUUGUACAUAAGAUAAUAGUGCUUAUUGGAUUUGUGUUUUUCAUUCUCCAUAUCUAUAGACAGUGAUAGAGAUCUUUAUAAUUUAUUAUAGCUAUAUUUCCUAAGUUUAUUGAAAUUUUUAUUGUGACUAACGUCAUUAUUGUAAAAUAGACAAUUAAAAAAGCGAAUGAAAUAUAACAUAAGUAAAGUAUAAAUUCAGGUAUAUAAUAAGUUUUCUUUAGAAACGAAAAGACAUCAAUUAUUAUUUUUACUGUUUUUUGUUAAUUAAAGAGUUUUGUUAUUUCAAGAGCCAUGUAAUUGAAAAAGAUUGAAUUGUCGGUUUUGAAUCUUUAUAUAAAGGGCGAGAAAGUCCGAAACACCACACAAAAUACAGAUUUACAUCAAAUUAUGGCUUCAAAUAAUGUCCUAAAAGCGAGUGAGAUCUUUGAAGGUCAAGUUCACUUGUACAAACACUUGUAUGCUCAUGCAGUAGAUUGUAUGAGUAUUAAAUGGAUGAUUGAGCUUGGCAUACCAGACAUCAUCCACAACCAUGGUCAACCCAUUUCACUUUCAAAGUUGGUUUCCAUUCUACAAAUUCCGCCAAGUAAAGUUAGAGGCGUGAAGAGUCUCCUACGCUACCUCGCACACAAUGGAUUCCUUCAGAUUGUAAGAGUUCAUCACAGCACAGAAGAAAAGGAAGCAUAUUCUCUAACAUCUGCAUCACAGCUUCUUGUCAAAGGCACUGACCUUUGUCUUGCACCAAUGGUAGAGGCUUUUAUUAACCCAAGUAUGGCACGCGUAUGGUCUCACUUGAAGAAGUGGACUUAUGAGGAUGAUAUUACACUAUUUGAUGUCUCCCUUGGAUCAAAUUUGUGGGACUUUCUUAGUAAAAAGCCAGAGUUUAACGAGACGUUCAAUGAGGCAAUGGCUAGUGAUUCUCAGAUGAUGAACCUGGCAUUAAGAGGUUGCAAAUGGGUGUUCGAAGGAGUGGAGACCAUUGUGGAUGUCGGAGGUGGAACCGGAAACACAGCCAAGGCUAUCUGUCAUGCAUUUCCUAACGUGAAGUGCACUGUGUUUGACCGUCCACAGGUUGUGGAGAAGUUGUCGGGAACCAAGAAUUUGACAUAUGUUGGCGGUGACAUGUUCGAAUCUAUUCCCAAGGCUGAUGCAGUUCUACUCAAGGUAGGCAUCUCCAAAAGAAGCUUUCCUAAACUUCUUUCUCUGCUAAUUUAUUUUACAAAUUAGAAUUUUAAUUUACUAUUCGAUUCUUGCUAUUAAAAUUUUAGGAUUGGCAUGUUUUAUUAACAAACUUUGUAAAUUUUUUCUAGUGGAUUUUACAUGAUUGGAGUGACAAGGAUAGUAAGCAGAUAUUAGAAAAUUGCAAAGAAGCUAUUUGUGAUAAAGGCAAAAGAGGAAAAGUAAUUGUUAUAGAUGUUGUGAUGAAGGAAGACCAAGAUGAGCUGGAACUUACUGGACUAAAGCUCCUCAUGGAUGUGCAUAUGGCAUGUCUUGUUAAUGGAAAAGAGAGAACUGAAGAAGAAUGGAAGAAACUCGUGGUGGAAGCAGGAUUUCAGAGCUACAAAGUAUCUCCUUUCACAGGAUAUUUGUCUCUUAUUCAGAUCUUUCCUUGAAUACUGAACUUAUGGUGAUGUAUUUAGUAGUGUUAUUCCUCUCAUGUAUGGAUCGAAUAAGGUUCGGUGUUUAUUUCUAGCACCAAUAAAAAGGAGAAUUGAUAAGAAACAAGACUCCAAAAAUCUGAAACUUGAUAGAAUGUGUUAGUGUUUGUGAUAUUAAAAAAGGAAACUCAUGAUGAAUACACGAGAAUUUUGUUUUAACUAUGUUCGAUAACAUGCAUGAUAGAGGGCUUUCUGAAAGCCCCAGCCCCAAAAGCCCCUGAUAGAAUGGAUUGGGACAGCUAGGGGUGGGAUGAGCCCCCUUUUUCGAUCAAACCACUCCUUCUUUCAAGAACGCACCACUGCAUAUAUACAAACACCAUUGGAAGUUCUCACUGAAACAUCAAUAGUUCGACAUUUUUCUUCUUACCUUACCGAGGAAGGAUCCAAACCUUCACGAACCUCUAUCAUCAACCUUGCAAUGCUCUCUUCUGUGCAGAUCUCGUCAAAUCUAUUCUUCGUAGAACACUCGGUUCCGCCUCCUGAUUUCACUUACUUAUGGUAAAUCUUCUUUUCUCUUUGUUUUAUUUUUGUCGAGUUUUGGAAUCCAUAAUUCAUUUCUCACGUCCCUUUUGAAAAAAAGUAAUGGAUUCAAUUCUAAGUUUGAAUCAUGAUGUUGGAAGUCAUUCUUCGUGGGUUGAGCUUGAAUCUGUAGGCUUGAAUUUAUGUUAAAGUAAAUAGGUAGUUUAUUAACCUGUUACAUGAUCAUAGUUCCAGUGCAGUGAUAUUGCUAUGUGCAGUGGUUGAAUGGAAUAAAUUGCAAUAUAUGUUGGUUGUCUCGGUGGUUAACAAAAGCAUAAGAGUAUGUAAUAUAGUUUGUGACAAAUACAUGGUUCAGAAAGAGAAAGGGUAUAGAAUGAGACUUGAGGAGAUUGUGUUUCGAAUGAUUAUUAUAUAUUGGUUUGAAACAGUAAAUUUUAAUUAUUAUAUAUUAUUACAUACAUUCUGUAAAAGUGGGACCCGUCAUUAGAUUUUUGUGUAAGAAGGACUAAAUCUAUUGGGAAAAUUAUCCUCCAUUGAUCCUUCAUGGCAAGGUGUGACUGCUUAACCGUUCGAUGAUACUGCUCAUUGCUUUACUCUGUGAGAAACAGCUUAAACCUUUGUCAGAUAUAUCUAAAAGUGGAUUCAGAAACUUUAUGAAGAGGUUAAGUCCAUCUCUUAAAUAUCACACUCUUCUCCCUUCUCUUAAAUAUCUGAGGCACCAUUGCUAGUUUAUGAAUAAGGAUGAGUUUAUGAACUAGCUUUUCAAAAUAUUCAAGUUCUGCUCUAUUUUCACUAAUUUUGAUAUUUUAUUCUGUUUUCUUCAAUUCAAACCAUUGUUCUUUCCUUUCUUAUCAUACCUAUACAAUCUUUUUACAAUUAAUAUACUCAGUUUUGUACUAUUCUUCAAUGGUUUUUGCUAAUCAAAUAUUUUCUGAUAGAUAUGAUUUAUCAUGUAUUUCACAUCACCUUAUUCUCGACAUGGACGUUUGAAGACUUCAAAUCAGCUUUAUCAAAACACAUUGAUACUUCUCCAAUAUUUGAUUUGAAUUUAAAGGUAGAUAAUGGAUGGAAUAUAUGUUUCUGUCAUCUGUUUUAUGCGUUUUAAAUAUGCUAAAUUUUUUUACUUGUCUCAGUACUAAUUACAAGUCUAUUUAUUAAAAUGAACAGUUAGUUUUAUAGGGUGAUUUGUGUUAAAAGUUAUGUAUUUUUCUUUUGAACAAUACUUUCGUAUGAUAUAAAUAAAAUUAGUAUCGAUAAUAUGUUGUAAUGACUAUCAAUCUCUUCUCACAAUACAUUGAUUUAGAACAAAGACUCCAGAAUUUUUAUAAAGAUAAGACAACAAAUCGGUUAUAAUUAAUGUCUUUUUGUAAUUAAGUUUCUACCAAAGGAAGCAAAAUCAAUUUAACAAUUUCUGGUUUCAUUAGGUCCUUUUAUUAUAUCUUGUAUCCUCCAGCACCCCUUUAUGCACUAUGAUUUCAAAGUGUCCUUUAAUAAUGAUUUUAUUAAGAAAAGAAAUAAAACUGGCAUUAUGACAUUGUUUUGAGCAAUUCUAUCAUUUGAAAAUUUUACUAACAAAAAGCCUUGCAUUGUUGAUUAUGCAAAAAAAGUUUGUGAAAGUAUUAAGUCUGAUUCCUUUAUUGUUCUAAAUUCCCGAAAUUAUCUGCACUUGCACCCCUUUCAUCUUUUAACUUAAUUUACUUCGCACCCUUUCAAUAAAAACUCCCAAAUUUUAUUGAUCAGUGUUUUCAACAUCAUUAUUUUUGUCAGCAUAAUGGAUGACAAUGGAACGAGCAAGGUUGCUCUCUAUUUUAUUUUUUUGAAUUUCUGUAGUUCCUUUUGUAAAUUUUGAUAACCUCUAUAUAGUCGGAUUGGGUUGGAACCUUUGUACGCAUUUUCAACGACAUCCUAUAGAUUGAAGACUUGUAAAUUAGUGUUUCACAAACAUACCUAUUAAAACUAACCAUUCAUUUUACAAUAAAUGCUAAAAAAAAUUAUUCCUAGUUUUAUAGGACUUACAUUAAUGUUUCACAGAGUUCCAUAGAAGAAAAACCUAUUAAAAUAUUAUUCAUUUAUCUAUGUAGUUGUGUGUAAUAACUUUUAAAUAUGGAUGACUUUAAGAGUAAUUCUUUUGAUUUUGAUUGAUGAUCUUACAUCUAAAACUUUGAGAGUGUUACCACUAAUAAAAAAAGAAAUCUCAAAAAUAGAAAAAGAUAAGGAUGCCAUUGAAAAGACUGCAUGUAAGUAUUAUGGUAAUAAUUACAAAGUUAGAAAAAACCUGAUUACUAUGAAAUUUCACUUUGUACAUUGAAAUUAUUCCUAUGAAAUCGGCGUAAAACAUGAGUAUGGAUUGGGAUGCUGAUUUUAUCUUCCUUGAUAUAAUUUUUUUACCUUGUAGGCAAGUGAUGUGAAGUGGGCAUAUCGCUGCCUAUACGGCGGAUGACCAGCUUCACUGGUUUUUAAUAGUGAACUCUCUGAUGGUUGUACUUUUUCUUUGGGCUUGAAGGCAGAGGUGGUACAGGCAGCGAAGAAGAAAUUUUGAGGAAGUGGUUAUCUGAGCUGAGUAAAGAUAAACAGGAAUUGCUAUUUCAUGUAUGUAACAAGUAAAAAUUUGUCAGCAGACAUAGGAUAACAGAGCAUAUCAUACAAAAAUUGGCAUAUUAAAAAAUAUUAAUGAUGUGUUUAGAACUGUUGGUGUGGAUUAGUUGUUACUAAAUAAAAUGCUUUUAUAUACCCAUUACUUGUUAUCUGGCGAUGUUUAUUUGUUGUUCUUGUAUAGUUUAAGCUUAUAAGUUUGCCAUGGAUAUGAAACAUUGAAGUUUUCAUUCCCUUUGCCUAUGCAGAAAUUAAACUCAUGAAUUUCUUUUCUUAUUGAAUUUUAAAAACAAAGAAAGGUACGGUCCUAGUCUAUAAGACUUUGUGGAUAUUUGAUCCUAUAAACUUUUUUAAUAAAAAAGAUUUUUUUUCUGUAGAUUUUUUAUUCCAACCCACAUAUGUUAGAGUUAAGGUUAGAGUUAAGACCUAUUAAAUGCACUAACUUAUUCUCGAGAUUUAUGAAAUUGUAAACUAAAAUUUGUGAAAUUGCAAAAAGUUGUCAACAAAACUAACGUGGUACUUGAAUUAUAAUAAUUAAGUUAAAUUUUCAACCUUGGAAUAGCGGUUGGAUGGGAAAACUAAAGUUAUUAUCAGCGUUUAUUGAAUUUUUAACUACAAAUUAAGACAUACACACAAAUACAAAGCCACAUAUAGGAAUGAAAAAAAAUUUUGUGAAACAGAUAUCCGUAGAUAAAAUCUGCGAUUAAUAGUUGAUAUUCACGGAUAUAAAUUAUCAACAAUCCGCAGCUAAUGAAUAUUUUAAUACCGCUUAUAAAUGGAUCGGAUGCGAGUAUUAUAUUAUUCGUACUCGUUGAUAUCCGUUAUCCGCAAAAGAAUAAAAAUAAAAAUUUAAUUUAUAUUUUAUUAAGUUAAAUUUAAUUAAAAUUAAUAUUAAUUAUAUUUUACAAAGUUAAAUUUAAUUAAAAUUAAAUUUUAAUUUAUAUUUAAUUUAAUUUAUAUAUUUUGUAUUUCUAUUUAAAUUUUAUUUUAAUAAUUUAUAAAAAUAUUUCGUUUUCAAUAUCUGCGAGUUUUAAAAUACUCACAGAUAUUUUUUAAAUUGAUAUCUGUGCGGGUAGCGGAUCGGGUAGCGGGUGAAUUUUUUUUUAUCGGAUCGAGUUGCAAAUAGAUACUAUCCGUGUUCAAUCCGACCUGUUGUCAUCCCUAACUACACACAUAUAACUUUCUUUUCCAUUAAAAAUGUUUUUUUUCUUUUAGAUAUUAUAAUAAAAUUAGCGCAUAUAUAUAUAUAUAUAUAUAUAUAUAUAUAUAUAUAUAUAUUAAGUUCGUAGUUUUAUUUUUUAUUUUUAGAUUUCUAUUCAAUAUUUUUUUAAUUUUAAAAAAUUUAUUCACAUAUCAUUGUCAAUGUAAUGUAACAAUUUAUGUCAGGAUUAAUGUGAAGUAUCUAUGUUAUGUUUUUUAUAAUUAAUUCAGACUUUACAGAUUUUACAUUUAUUAUUUUAAUUCAAUUUAGUUUUUUUUUUUUUAAGUUGAUCAAAUUUGUCCUUUCCAAAUUAAAAUAAUUUCUUUUAUAUAAAUAUUAUAAUAAUAUUUUUACUAGAAUUCAUAUUUUAAUUAAAUAUUUAUGAAAUUUUCUUAAACCAAUUUUAACAUUGAUAUAGAAAUUAUUGAGUGUUAUAUAAGUAGCUUUUUUAUAUAAAUUUAUAUACAAUUAUUUCAAAUAUAAAUUCAAAUAAACUCACAAAUAUUUUUAACUUCAGAAGUUUAAAUAAAAAUGAAAAUUUACACAAUUAAAUUGUAAGUAAUUUAAUAGAUAUUCAAUUUGUCUUCAUUUAUAAUUUAAUAUUAGAUAGUAUUAUUUUAUUUUGUAAUUCAAUAUUCGAAUACUUUUAUUAACUCUUUCUAUAUAACUAGAUAUAUUGAAUAAUAAGUUGGACAACAAAAUCAAACUAUUAUGAAAAAUUACAGAAAAAGUUGAAACAUAAAUCUUAUAAUUAUAUUUGAAUAAUAUAUUUAGAGUUAGUUUAAAAAUAUUUCUAAAAGUAUUUAUUAAAAAUUUUAAUUUUAACAAUAAUAUUUUUUUUAUAAAAAUUAAAUUUAGUUUUAAUUGGGAAAGAAAUAAAAUUGUUUCAUUUCAAACAAAAAUUAAAACUGAAUUUAAUCUAAAUAAUAAAUAUAAACACUAAAUUAAAUAUAAAAUAUGUGACAAUAUAAAUUAAAAAAGUUAAAAAGAAAAAUACAAUGACACACGUCUCUAGUCAGUAAGAAUAAAAAAGAUCAAACAAAAUCAAAUAUUAAAAAAUUUAAAAAAACUUAGUUGAGACAAAAAGAAUUAGAAAACCAAAUUGAAUUUGUUUUAUAUUAAAGUUAGUACUAAACGAGUAUUUAAACCAAAAAUUAAUUUCUUAUGACUUAUUCUUGAAUUCAUACUUUAUUUCUUUUUCGAAUUUUCUAUUUUACAGUAAUCAUGUUAAUCACUAGAAAUUUCAAGUAAAUUAGUUAAUAAACUGUCAUAAAGUUAAAAUAUGUUUUGAAAAUUGACCUUUCAUAUAUUAAUUUACACUACAAGAAAAAUGACAACUAUCUAUCGCCAAAAUCCGUAUAUAAGGUUCAAAAUCCGUAUUUAAUAGAAUUUUAUAUACAGAUUAUAUACGGCCCAAAAUUCGUAUAUAAUACCCUCGUAGGUAGACUUAUAUAUGGAAAUAUUCGUAUAUAACUUAUAUACGGAAAUAUCCGUAUAUAACUUAUAUACGGAUAUUUUCGUAUAUAAUUAUAUUUCAUUCCAAACAAACCGAUGCGGACCUGGAUAUUGGACAUAAGCAUAAUUUAUACAUGCAAACCUGAAUAUUAAACAUAAACACCAUUCAUAUGCAGUACUGAAUAUUAAACAUAGUAUAUUGUCAUAUAAAAGAAAUAAGACACGCACUUAAUCAACAAAAAAUAUUGUUUACAUAACAAAAAUUAGGUAACGAAACAUUCAUGUAAACAAGUUCAACACCAUAAGCUUCAUCUAAAUCAGUUCAACAACAUAAGGUUCAUCUAAAUCAGUUCAACAACAACAUAAGCUUCAUCUAAAUCAGUUCAAGAAUAAUGAAAGUAAGUUCUAUAAAAUGGCUGGUGAUCAUUUCCAUCAUCUGGUUGAUCUGGUGGUGGUUGUUGGAUUGGUGAUUGCUGGUUUGGAGCUUGUCGGUCUGGACCUUGGUGGUCAUUGGCUGCUUCAUUUUGAUGUUGAGAAUUUGGAAAGUUUAAAAAUUGUUGUGUAGCUGCAGUAGCUGAAGGUGGAAGGAAUGGAAGGAGGACACCAAGAAAGCCAUGAACCAUUUGAAGUUGUUGGCCAUAUUGUUGUACCUGUGAUUUAAGAUUAUCAAUUACUUAUGAAUUUGGUGCCUGAGUGGAAGAAGAUGCCUGUGUCUGUCGGAUGUAACUAUCGACACAGUCAUCUGUGGAACUGACAUGUCCAAUGCCAUAUACAGGUCCCUUGUAUCUUCCACCAGCAGCAUCUAACUAGCAUUGGUUUCUCAAUCUCUCCUCCUCCGCAGGGUCUAGGGGACUACAUGCAGAGGCACCAACAGAUGCAGUCUCAGAUCUCAUUUGAGAAAAUUUGGCUUGAAUUUGUUCCUAUUAAAGGAAUAAAUAUUAUUAGCAAACAAUGAGCUUUGAAAACCGACAAUGUAUAAUGAGAUAGAGUUAGUAGAUACAUACAUGGGUCCGCCUAGACCUUUCAUCUACAAAGUCCCCUGUUGAUUGACGGAUGUGUGUUUGUUGAAAUAUUUCAUCAACAUGAACAGACCUUCCAAGUUCCUGUGACUGCAAACAAUAUGAGUUGUUAAAAAAUAUUUGUAAAGUUUAUGAUUACAAAUUUAAUAAAUGAAAUGUACAAGUAUAAUCUAAUACAAUGGCAACCCUAAGCAAGCAAAAACCAACACUAAUGAAUACAAGUAUAAUCUAAUACAAAAAGAUAAUCAAAUUUUAUAAUGACAAUUUUUUUAACCAAGUUCAAAACCAUAUCUUAGUCAAACAAAUUGAACAAAAAGUAAAAAAUAGGAAGAGCACAUUGAACUAAAAUCAUAUAUUUUAUUAGUGAAAACCAGAACACAUCCUCUAAUUCGUCUUCUGCUUUUAAACAAAGUAGGUUGCUAACUUGAAAAUCAAUUUCAUGGAGGAAGAGGUAGAAGAGAAUGUGCUAGGAGAUUUAAUCAAAUACGUUUACAACCUUUAUUAGUAAUACUCAUCUAUAUUUAUAUAUAUUAUAUAUUACUAUGAAAUGGUUUAAUUUGUAAUAAUACUGGAAUAAGAAAAAGAAGUGAGCUGGAAGGUGGUUUAAUUUGACUUGGUAAAGUAACACUGUUAGUUUGAUGAGUACAUAGUAGGUACUGGUUUUGCUAGCUAAUGGGUAUUGUUAUAUAUGGUGAACGAAAGCAAGAGACAGACAAAGUGGUUCAACUGAGUCUAUGGCUGACUGACACCCUCAACAGUCGUGUUCAUAAUUUAGAAACAAGGUUGUGGAGCAGAAACAAGGCAUGACAUGUCUCGUGUGAGCACCAGUAGCUGUAGCAGUACCCAUCAAAAAAUAAUUCAAAAAGGAGUGAACAAAAUAACAAAUAAGCAAGCACCCAUGUCAUACAAUUGUUUGAUUCCCACCAAACCGAGCAAGAGAGGAAAUUAAAAACACCUUUUUGUGGUUCCUUCGGCCUUCGUACCACCAACUUCAAUGUCUCAGCUUAAACCGCAAUAAACCAACCUCAAUUGAUGCCUCGUCAAAAUCCAACUACGUCUUGGCACACGAACCAAAAAUGGGCCAAUUAAAAUAAAAUUAACACAGAUUAAGGUUCAAUUUUAAAGAUUUCUAGGCAUUGCAGAUUAUCAGAAAAAUGAUUUAGGGCUCGACAGAAUAACUAUUUAGGGCUCGACAAAACAAUUAUUUAGGGCUCGAGAGAAGAAUGAUUGAGGGCACCUACCGUUCGACAGAAGAGGCGUUAAGUAGACCGACAGCUGCACAAAAGAGAGGACCGACAGCUCGCCACCAGAGAAGUCGACAGUUGCAGAGAAGACAGCUUCGAGAGGAGACGUGACUGAAGCUUCGACACCACAACACACUGAAGGUGACAGUGUUUGAUAUUCAGAGAGAGCGAACAGAGGUGACAGUGUUUCUAGAGAUGAAGGUUCGAGAUGGACAACGCGAGAGAGAAAAGAGAGAUCGAGAUGAGGGUUCGAGAAAGAGGGUAAAAUGCAAACCGAGUCAGCUCCAGCAGUCAAUUAACCCAAAAAUCAUUUUUUUAAAUAAAUUAUUUUCCAUACCCGUAUAUAAUAUCUGUAGUUAAAGACCUCUUUCAAACUACAUACGGAUAAUAUAUAUUAUAUACGGAUACAUCCUUGGGUAAUUUUGCCGCCACCAUGCGCCAAAGUUAAAUACGGAUAUUAUAUAUAGAUUUUUUCGUAUAUAAAAUUCCGUACAUAAAAACCGUAUAUAACUCCUUUUCUGAUAUCCGUACAUAAUUUCCGUAUAUAAAAGUUAUCUUCUAUACGGAUUUAAAUCCGUAUAUAUAUUUCUGUAUGUAAUUCGACUUUUUCUUGUAGUGUUAUACCCUUUGAAAUCUGUUGUUUACCCUCAUCAAUAUAGAGCCGAGUUAGGUUUAAGACAAAGUUAAAAUCAAAUCGAUUUACAUAGAAUGAAGUCUCUUUAAGUUAAAGUUUUAGUUCAUUCAGUCCAAAAAAAACUUAUCCGGAUUCACUUCAGUUAAAGGUCGAUUUGAGAUGGUUGAAUUCAUGUUUAAUGAAUCUUAUAAUUAAGUAAAUUAAAUGAAUUUACUAAAUUUAGUCUAAAAUGAAUUCAAUUUAAAUUUAAUCUAAUUUAAAUUAGAUUAAAACAAAUUCAAUUCUAAUUAAUAUAUUUAAAAAGGAUUUUGUAUGUAUAUGGAGUAUGUCUUGUUAGAAGAAUGAGUUGUUCGGUCUAGUAAGUCGUUUUGUCUACGGUGGGCCAUAAUUGGGUUAGUGUUUAAGUAAUUGGUAUUAGGUCGUAAUAGGACCAACGCUUCAAAUAUGGUUAAUGGACUAAUAAUUUAAGUGGAUCAAUAACUUGAUUGUUAGCAAAAUAAUAACAAAAUGAUUCAAGAUAUUGAUAAGUGAUAACGGUUUCUAAACAACAAACCGAGAAAAAGCUAAGUUAGUAUUAUAUUGAUUUAUCAAGUGCCCUAUAAAACAAAACUAAAGCACAAAGGUACACACUUUUGACUAUACACUGAAUAUUCAAUUGUGAGCAUAAGCUCUUUGAAACCACGCCUAACUUGAGUGUCGGAGUGCCUUUUGCAGGUGCUUACCCCCGGUCUAAAGGUGAAGGAAGCGAAACAAGUUAUCCAAGCAUCGAAAAGUAAGAAGGCCAAGUCAGAAAGGUACAUCUCUUAUCCCUACACAUAUCCCUACAGAAACAUUUUGGCACCCACUAUGGGACCGAGAUAAGCUGAAGAAACCCAAUGGUGACCACAAGAAAUAUGGAGGAGCAACAAAGCACCAGAGAGAUGAUCAGAAAUAUGUAGGCGCAGAUGCAGGCGCAGGCGCAAGCAUAAUUGGAGAUGUAGCGGAAGCAUGAAGAGGAGAUUGUGGCACUAAGGGCGGAACGAGCUCAUCAUGAGUAGUCUGCUCAACAUUCAAUGUCGAACCAUGAGAAAGGCCACGAGAUAAGCCACAAUCAAUAGUUGUCCCAUCACACCAACCUAAACAGGCGUAAUCAACAUCCCAUCACACUAAUCCAAACGACCAAGGAAGAAGGGAAGCAAAUAUCAGGAUUACACCCACACCUCUACAAGUUGUACGACCUACCAGUCUAGUCCAUUCAUGACGGCUAUCAUGUAGACUCCUAUGCCGGAAAAAACUCCUCCUGUAUUAGAGAAAUAUGAUGGCUCGACCGAUCUAGAUGAUCAUUUCAAGAUAUUUGUUAACGCAAUGGCAUUCUACUUGGAUAACGACCCGAUUAUGUGUAAACCUUUUUCACUAUCACUCAAAGGAGAAGCAUUAGAAUGGUACAACACAUUUCCCCCAAACACAGUGUAUUGCUUUGCUACUGUGGAAGAUCUUUUUGGAAAACAGUAUGCAUCCAACCGGGUACAGGAGUUCACACGUGCGGAGUUGGUGAAUACUAAACAGGAGAAGGAGGAAACCUUGAAGGCCUUUAUGAAAAAGGUAUAAUGAGACCGCACGACGAGAUAAGGGCAUAAAUCACACUUUUAUCAUCAGCAAUCUACCUUCAUGCUUAAAAGCAGGAUAUUUUGCUGAAAACUUAUAUGCACGACUACCUAAAACUAUGAACGAACUCCAGGAAAGAGUUUCCUAGUUCAUUCGCAUUGAAGAUAUAAGGAACUCAAGGAAGACACAACAACAAGAAGCUUCUACAGGUGGGAGCAAGAAAGAAGGAAAGCGAUCGUUCAACAAUAACGACAAAAAUGGAUGUCCUCGUCAGAAGGAUUUUAUUCAGAAUCCAGGUUUAAUCAUUAUACCACCCUUAAUGCACCCAGGGCAAAAGUUCUCGAGGAAGCCCUUAAUGCCAAACUUCUUACAGUUCGAAAGAGUAUACUCCAAGAAACGUCGACAAAAGAAAAAACUGAUGGUUUCACAUGAACUAUGGCCAUAAUACAAACGAAUGCGAUGUAUUGAAGGAUGAAAUAGAAAGACUCGUUCGGGCAGGCCAUCUCCAAAAGUAUGUAAAAGAAGAGGGAGCCCAAACAAGAAGCUCCCCUAGAGAAAAAUCUCUGCGUAGAAGUCCCGAACAGUCGUAUCAAAGGGACGACCAGAGUCAAAGGCACAACCGUAGUCGUAGUUGUGGUCAUGAACACGAACGUUCGAUUUGGGGGCAUAUAAAUACUAUAUCAGGAGACUUUGAAGGAGGAGGGGCAUCAUCUUCAGCCCGCAGAAAGCACCUAAUGAGUUUGAAAAUUGUUCAUAUGGUAGAUAGACAACCUUGAUAUACGCCACCUAUUACCUUUACUGACACAGACUUCCAUGCUUCUGACCCUAAUCAAGAUGAUUCCAUGGUCAUCACAACCGAGAUAUUAUAGUGUUGGUAAGGUGCUGAUUGACCAAGGCAGUUCGGUCAACAUCUUAUACUAGGCAAUAUUCCUGAAAAUGGAUUUAUAUGAAGAUAUAAUAACCUCAUUUAAUGAACAGAUAAUGGGGUUCAUAGGAGAAAGAGUCGAUACUCGAGGAUAUUUAGACUUGAGGACCCGACUUGGAACAGGCAGAGAGGCAAAAGAACUUAGAAUAAGGUUCUUACUAGUAGAAGCAAAUACUUCGUAUAAUGUCUUAUUGGGAUAACCUUGUUUGGACGCUUUCGGAGCCGUGGUGUCCACUCCUCAUUUGACCAUGAAAUUUCCAUCGAACAAAGGAACUGUAUGUACCAUGCAACCAGAUCGACGAACAACACGAAAUGUUAUGUUGCUAGCCUAAAAGUCACACCUUUUAGUCAGGCCAAAAAGAGCAGAGGAGCAGAAGCUAUUACGGUCGAUCUCAAUCCACAAACAAACACUGAUGACCACAUCCAACCCCAAGGAGAUAUCAAAUUGUUUGUGCUCGAAAAAAUGAGAAAUAACGUCUAUAGGAGGAAGGCUGGAAAAAGUCGAUGAGAAAAAUUUAGCAAAAAAUUUGAAAGUCAACGUAGAUUUGUUCGCUUGGGUUGCCUUAGAUAUGCCCAGAAUUCAUUCGAGCGUCAUGACAAACAAACUGGACAUAGUCAAAGAAGCACGCGCGGUUGCUUAGAAGAAACGAAGGUUCGACGGAGAAAAUCGAUUGACCAGCCGGGAAGGUGUUGAUUGACCAACCGGGAAGUUUUUAGGAUUCAUGUUAACUUCUCGAGGAAUUGAGGCCAAUCCAGAUAAAUGUCAAAUGGUCUUGGAAGUGAGGAGUCCUACCAAUUUAAAGGAAAGACAACGCUAUGUUGGCAGACUGACAUCUCUGUCAUGUUUUAUUACGCGACUUGCAGAGCAUAUUAAACCAAUUCUUAAGAAUAUGAAGAAAGGGAUCACCCAACAAUGGGACGACCAGUGUGAAAUGACCUUUGGCAAAGUCAAAGAUAUCCUGACUAAUCCAUCUAUCAUGGCACGUCCAGUACAAGGGCAUGAUUUGUAGUUGUACAUGGCUACAUCAAACAACACGAUCACUGCAGCCCUCAUUCAAGAAACUCCUUAUUUCAUAUUGGUUUACUUCGUUAGCAGAACAUUACAAGGAGCGGAAGAAUGAUAUUCCCAAAUAAAGAAGGUGGCCUUAGCCUUACUCACAGCGGCCCAACGUCUCCGACUAUAUUUUCAAAGCCACAAAGUGGUGGUAAGCACAAAUCACUCGUCGCAAGCAAAGAAUUCUUCGGUUCAGAUAUCAGGGACACCCACCCUUUUUGGCAUUCAGUCGGGUGCGAAAAUGAUAAAGGAAUAUAACCAGAGUAAGGGUUAUUCGAAUGACCUGACACACUAUAGCAAAAGCUUCAAUAUAACCCCAACUAUUGGGAUGUAGUUGGGAGGGCGUCGUAUUCAACACCUUUAAUACUCCCAUUUGAAAAGAAUUAAAGGGCAUUUGAAUAUACAUUUCACGAAACAUGUAAGUAUAGGUGAAAAAGAGGUCAUGCGGAUGAUUUUCUUUCCCAUGAAAUACUCGUUCAUUAUCUUUACAAGCAGAUAAUUUAAUCAGGGAACUACAAUCCAAGGUUCUCAAUACACAAUUGUUUUCUACCCAUCUUUUUAAUUCUACCCUACUGGAAAAUAAGCUAUUAUACUCACUAACAUCGUGAGAGGCCCAAUCAUAUCCACUGAUGUUGGGCAAAGAUUAGGAUGAACUUUCCUCCUCCACAAGAACCUCAACCAGGACAUUACCGUAAACGAAAGCGCUAUCAUUGCUGAGUAAGGUUUCCGCAUUACUAGUUUCCAUGGGUGGCGCUACUUCUAUGGUGGCAGGUGGGCCGUUGUCGUUGCCUCGCCUUUCUCCUCCCAUGGGUUCAAAUGGAGAAGAUGAGAUUAUAGUAAGGUUCAUGAUUACCUGAGGUGUGCAGAGAAAAAGCUUUGAUGGUUGUCGUAGGAAAAUGACGGUUAGGAAAUCGAAAUGAUUUCGAAAUGCCUUUUACAUUUAUGAGGGGUAACUCACGCGGCUGAAAACAAUAUGAGCCGUAGGAUCCUGUUUAAUCUUGCGGUCUAUCUCGUGAGACUCUGCAACUGCUUUAAAGGCGAGAAAUCCAAAUAAUCAUCUGAAGGCACUAGGUCCUCAUCCGACGAUGUACAAUAACAAGCCCUGAUCCGAACGUUUAUCAUAAGUCCUAUAGUUAACCUUUCUUGAAGGCCGAAUUGUUAACUCAGAUUUGGGAGGAAUAUGUAUGGUAUAUGGUGUAUGCCGAGUGGUUAGAAGAAUGAGUGUUUCGAUCUCAUAAGUCAUUUUGUCUACGGCGGGCCCUAAUUGGGCUAGCGUUUGAGUUAUUAGUAUUGGGUCAUAACAGGACCAACACUUGAAUUAUGGUUAAUGGGCUAAUAAUUUAAGUGGGCAAAUAACCUGACUGUUAGCAAAAUAAUAAUAUAAUGAUUCAAGAUAUUGAUAAGUGAUAACGAUUUCUGAACAACAAACCAAGAAAAAGGUAAGUUAGUAUUAUAUUGAUUUAUCAGGUGUCCUAUAAAUACAGAACUAAAGCACAAAGGUACACACUUUUGACUAUACACUGAAUAUUCAAUUGUGAGCAGAAACUCUUUGAACCCACUCAUAACUCACUAGUACAAAAAUCAUAUUUUAUGACGUACAAAAACGAACUAUGACGUACAUAUGUACCUCAUAAUAGGUCUAUAAGUAACAAAAAUUUACGUCAUGAUAGCCUGAACAUAUUAUGACAGUUUCUAAAAUCAGUCUAUUUUUUUUAUAAGAAUAUGGGAAAAAAUUGUUUCGAAUUGAUAUUGAGUAAAAUUAUCUAUGUUUACAUUCAUUAGAGUUAUUUCUUUUUUUUAUAGACUUCUUGACAUUCUUUCUUCUUUGGAGGCAACACAAAUUUUAAGUUGACAUCCACAAAAAACGACAAUAAAAUCUAACAAAUUAUGACGCAAACAAAUGACACAAAGGUCAGAGAGCAAGAAAGACACUUCAGGUACAUCUCUUAGCCCUACACAUAUCCCUACAUAAAAAUAUUUAAAUUAUAAAUUCAUUACUUUUUAUUUAUUAGAUUGGAUUAGACUAGAUUUUUAAAAAUAUAUUCCAUGUCGUUUAUUAAUAAAGCAAACACUCUCACACAUUCCAUGAAAUUUCAUAUAUUUCUGAUUCUUGUUUCUUAUCAAUUCUUCUUUUUAUUCUAGUCGCAUUUUCUUACAAAUCAUUAAUUGAUAAGGGAAAAUACGCAUUGCGACCUUGUUUGCUCAAUAACAUGCUUUGAAGAAAUGCAUCGACAUAACUUUAGUAUUCAAGGAUAGAUCUGAAUAAGAGACAAACAUCCUGUGAAAGAAGAUAUUUUGUAGCUCUGAAAUCCUGCUUCCAUCACGAGUUUCUUCCAUUCUUCUUCAGUUCUCUCUUUUCCAUUAUUAAGACAUGUCAUUUGCACAUCCAUGAGUAGCUUUACUCCGGUAAGUCCCUGCUCAUCUUGGCCUUCGUUUAUCACAGCUUCUAUCACAAUUACUUUUCCUCUUUCUCCUUUACCAGAAAUAGCUUCUUUGCAAUUUUCUAAUAUCUUCUUACAAUCCUCGUCAUUCCAAUCAUGCAAAAUCCACUAAAAAUAAUUAUAUAUUUGUUAAUAACAUACCUCAUGUCAAUACUAGAAUUGUAAUAAAAUGAUUAGAAUAUUAAAUUCGUAUUCUAAUUUAUUAAAAAACAGUAGUGAAAGAAGUUUAGGAAACGUGAUACCUACCUUGAGUAGAACUGCAUCAGCCUUGGGAAUAGAUUCGAACAUGUCACCGCCAACAUAUGUCAAAUUCUUGGUUCCCGACAACUUCUCCACAACCUGUGGACGAUCAAAGACAGUGCACUUCACGUUAGGAAAUGCAUGACAGAUAGCCUUGGCUGUGUUUCCGGUUCCACCUCCGACAUCCACAAUGGUCUCCACUCCUUCGAACACCCAUUUGCAACCUCUUAAUGCCAGGUUUAUCAUCUGAGAAUCGCUAGCCAUUGCCUCAUUGAACGAUUCGUUCAUUGCUGGGUUUUUACUAAGAAUGUCCCAGAAAUUUGAUCCAAGGGAGACAUCAUACAGUGUAAGAUCGUCCUCAUAAGUCCACUUCUUCAAGUGAGACCAUACGUGUGCCAUACUUGGGUUAAUAAAAGCCUCUACCAUUGGUGCAAGACAAAGGUCAGUGCCUUUGACAAGAAGCUGUGAUGCAGGUGUUAGAGAAAAUGCUUCGUUUUCUUCUGUGUUGUGAUGGAGUCUUACAAUCUGAAGGAAUCCAUUGUGUGCCAGGUAGCGUAGGAGACUCUUCACGCCUCUAACUUUACUUGGCGGAAUUUGUAGAAUGGACACCAACUUUGGAAGUGAAAUAGGUUGACCAUGGUUGUGGAUGAUGUCUG
rnacentral:lncRNA from 1 species